UACCAGCACCCCGAGUGGUCGGGACGAUUAUUGGGCCUAAAGCAUCCGUAGCCGGUUUUACAAGUCCUCCGUUAAAUCCAGCCGCUCAACGGUUGGGCUGCGGAGGAUACUACGUGGCUAGGAGGCGGGAGAGGCAAGCGGUACUCAGUGGGUAGGGGUAAAAUCCUUUGAUCCAUUGAAGACCACCAGUGGCGAAGGCGGCUUGCCAGAACGCGCUCGACGGUGAGGGAUGAAAGCUGGGGAGCAAACCGG
rnacentral:rRNA from 1 species